UACCCUUGACAUGUCCGAGGGCCUGAAGAGAUUCGGGUGUGCCCGAAAGGGAAUCGGAACACAGGUGCUGCAUGGCUGUCGUCAGCUCGUGUCGUGAGAUGUUGGGUUAAGUCCCGCAACGAGCGCAACCCUUGUCAUUAGUUGCUCCAUUAAGUUGAGCACUCUAAUGAGACUGCCGGUGACAAACCGGAGGAAGGUGGGGAUGACGUGUAACCGAAUCU
rnacentral:misc_RNA from 1 species